AAUUAUGUAGUUUAUAUAGAACAUUAAAUUGCAAAUUUAAAGGAAAAAGAAAUAUUUUCAUGAUUU
rnacentral:tRNA from 1 species